rnacentral:tRNA from 1 species
GGCGUCGUGGUGUAAUGGCUAACACAUCAGUCCGAACUUUGAAGAUGCUGGUUCGCUCCCAGCCGCCG